rnacentral:lncRNA from 1 species
AAGAAUGCAUUCGGCAGAAAGGAUGGUAAGCUUUCCCUUAUGUUGCUCACUAUGGCAGCAAGGAGUUUCCAAUCAGGACCUUUAGCUUUCAAUUUGACUUAUGCGUCUUUCCAUCCCUUUUAUCAAUUUUUGUUCAGGGUUUGCUUCAAUAGGAAUAGAAGGUCAGAUAGAAGAAGAAGUGGUUUAUUACAUUUACAUUCAUGCUUUCAUAGCCUUUUUGUAUAAUUCUUUAAACAUUUUCUAAUAUGAUGAUGAUUAGAGUGAUAUCAAAGCAUCCAUUUUUAUUAUAUGUCUUUUCAAAGGUGAUUUAAUUAUUGCUAUCAAAUUCAAAUUCACAUUGCUUUGAUUUUUUAUAGAAUUGUCAAUUACUCUUAGUGUGAUCAUUAUUACCUAUAUAGAAUGAACAAAAUAAGGAUUNNNNNNNNNNNNNNNNNNNNNNNNNNNNNNNNNNNNNNNNNNNNNNNNNNNNNNNNNNNNNNNNNACCAUAUGUCAGAACUUCAAAAGUUUGUGUUAGUAACACUACCAUAAUGCUUUGGGUUCCACUAGCAAGUAACCAUAACUGAUAUUUAUAGAAUGCCUUAAGACUCAUUUUUAUUGCUCAUUGUGAUUUUAUGUUCAGAACUGAUAUUUAUUUUAUCACUUAACCUACAUCAUGGAUUAACCUUUAGAGGGAUACCUAAUCAUCCUAAUAUGUAGUUGUCUACUGGUGUUGUUUGUAUGGACAAAGCUAAUGACACAAGUAAGGAGUUCAAGAGGAAAGUCUAGAGAGACAAUACGGCAAUAUAGUUUUACCUGUUUUAUGCUUCUUAGGUUUCGGUAAAGAAUAAACGGACUCUUCUCUUUAAUGGCAAAAAGGGAUUUGCUUUGCUACUCUAUGAUAGUUAGAUGGUUUCUUCCGAUCAUCUUAGUUUCUUAAUUGUUCCUAUUUUCAAGUUUUAUCAAGUAAUUUACAAAAGAUAACACUGGUCUCUUUCCUAAUUGGCACAAGUUUAUUUGGAUGGGCAACCAAGCAAAUUAUAAAUGUUAUUCAGGUCUGUACAGAGUACAUGAUUUAUUUAUGCCUGCAUAUUUUAGAUGAUGAGAGGCUCUAUAUAUUUAGUUUUUUAUUAUCACCAUCCUAUAAUGGGAAGAAAAAGAAAAUCUGAACUCCGAGAAAACAGGGUAGUGCUAAAUUGUUCAUAUAUUUUAAUAUUGAAUAUGUUCUUUGGUGUAGGGUCUAAUAUGACAUUGUGUGACAAGCUUGAGUUGCAAUGAGACUUUGCUAUUUAUAUGAUUGAAUAGUAUAAUUAUGAAGUGGAUGAAGAAUUGUCAUUUUUUCCUUGAUUAUUAUAUGGGGUGUUUCAAUUUUUUGAAUGAACUAAAAAAGAUGCAGGCACAUCUUAUCAU